CUACUUGAUGAGAUCAGCGGAUCGCCUUUCAUCAUGAGGCAGCUCUCACGCUGCUGCUCGCACUGUUGUCUGUCCUCUUUCUCUCUCUCCUUCCCUUUCUCUCUCUUUCGGGCCACUGAGCUAGGCUUUGGAGCCGGAGCCGGAGCUGGAGCUGCGACACAGGACGGAGUAAGGAGUGCGGAGUGGGACGGAGGCUGUCACGGCUGGGAUUAACCUCAGGGAGGGGGUGGGGGGGUUACGUCUCUGGGGAGAAGCUUCUUUUCUCCUUCUUCAGCAGGGAGACCGAGCAAAGAGGAAAAAAACUAGUGUGCGCUCCUUCUCACAAAGAGAGGAGCUCCUUUCGUCCUUUAUUCCUUGGGGUUUCCUUGUUUUUUUCCCUGAACUGGUGAAGACCGGGGAGUUCUGCCGGGGAGACCAUCACAACCGGGGUUCCAGUAAGGCUGGCACUAUCGCCACUGCCAGACGCUGAUGUUAGUUUGGGGGCCUCAGGCUGUCGUUUUGGUGCUUUGAUGAGGUAACAGCGGACCCCGGUAGACCAGCCCCUCUAUUGCACCACCCCUUUCCUCCUCUCUACCCCUGUCCAACCAGCCAAGCCAUGGGCCAGAAGAUCUCAGGGAGCAUCAAGUCUGUGGAUGUACGUGGGGAGCCAUCCUACAGGCCCCUGAGGAGGGAACUUAGAGGUCCAGAUUUCUUCAAGCCAGCCCGGCUGGACUUACUACUGGACAUGCCCCCUGCUCCGUAUGAGCAGCAGCUUCGACAUGCCUGGAACCCGGAUGACCGCUCGCUUAAUAUCUUCAUCAAGGAUGACGACAAACUCACCUUCCAUCGGCAUCCUGUUGCCCAGAGUACUGAUGGCAUUCGUGGACGGGUGGGAUACACGCGAGGACUCCAUGUUUGGAGGAUCAAUUGGCCUGUUAGGCAACGGGGCACACAUGCGGUGGUGGGUGUGGCCACACCAGAUGCCCCUUUGCACUCAGUGGGUUACACUUCUUUAGUUGGAAGUGAUAGUGAGUCCUGGGGCUGGGACCUGGGACGAAACAAGCUCUACCAUAACAGUAAGAACCGACCAGCCUCUUCUGCACCCACAUACCCAAGCUUUCUGGAGCCAGAGGAGGCCUUUGUGCUGCCAGAUGCCUUGAUAGUAGUGCUGGACAUGGAUGAGGGCACGUUGAGCUUCAUAGUGGAUGGACAGUACCUUGGAGUGGCCUUCAGAGGUCUUAAGGGCAAAAAGCUGUACCCCAUUGUCAGUGCAGUGUGGGGCCACUGUGAAAUCACCAUGCGCUACAUCAAUGGCCUAGAUCCCUGGUCAAGCUGGUCUUCAACUGGUCUUCAGCCUGGUCAUGCUGAUUUUCAAACUGUAGAAAUGUGGCUCUCCAGGACCGAUAUUGGCCUUCCCACUCUAGACUAAGGCUGUGAUCCUCCUUAGGAUCCUUUCUACUCGGUUGAAGGAGGAGGGGUCCUCCGAUGACCGCAAAACCCGGAAGUCGGUGUUUGUGUAUUUGGACCGCCUACCUUUCUUUCAGUUCCCUCCCUUACCCGUUGCUCAUAUCCUGUCGCCUAGCAACCGUGACAGCGCUAAGCAAGAAGUGGGAAAAUGGACAAACAAAGAGUUAUUCUGGAAGAAUAAUUUUGGAAGAAAUAAAGCAAUUAAAUAAAUUAAAUACGUUCUUUGCUCGUUGUCUGAGAGUUUUUUAUAUCAGACUACAAGACAGUCAUAUCCAGGUAAGCCAUUAUAUCCUAUUUUUAUUUAUGUUUUAAAACAAAAUGCCUAACUAGACAACCACUGAAAAAAUAUAUAUUUUUGAAAAGCCAGUUUUUAAGAAACUUACAUUGAAAAGCAUACUCCUCUGCGAUUUCGCUACCGCUCGCUUCGUCUGCCAUUACGCUCUGCCAAACAGAAUUAUGGGAUAGGUAGGACGGGAAAGGAUCCACCACACCCAUCCUUCCAAUUCGGGGAAAAGGAGGACGUAUUUGUGGGCCACAUUUGAAGGAUCCUACGAAUUUGGACAGCCAUCGUCGCGGCGCUGUGACGUAACAUCCUUCAAAUAAGUACUCCGAAAGAUGUAGACCCUGAAUUUGGACACAGCUUAAGGGAUGUCUAUUCUUGUUCCUGGAACAUUAAUGUCCCUGCAGUUUAGCUCCAAACUGGCCAACACACUUUCUUGGAAGUUUGUAGUAAUCCUGAAGACCUUGCUUAGCUGCUUCAGCUGUGUUUAGUUAGGAUUUGAGCUAAACUCUGCAGUACAGUGAUCCUUCAGGAGCCUUGAUUAGAUGCCUCUGGUGUAGCCAAUCUCCCAGUCUGGCCAAGCUGGUGUUUAGCUGGGUGGACUGCUGGUCUCCAAUCCCAACCAGCUAGAAAGUGCCAAAAACCCUUUAAAAAUCAGCCAACAUACCAGCUUGACCAGGCUAGAAGACCAGCAAACCAAAAGUACUCUUUAGGCAGUUUACUUCUUUUGCCCUGGCAAUCAAAAACCUGACCUUAUUAUGCCACGCUACAACAACACUGUGUUCUGUGGAAACCUUGCUUGAGAUGAAGCCAUGCAUUGUUGGUAUUUCAACAUACAGUUGUAGUUAGCCAGCAAGCGACCCUGACUAUCGCAUCUUGUCUUCCAUCUUGUCCAGUCAAGACCUCAAUGUAAAGAGAUUAAUUCUGGUUCUUCUCUUACAAUGUCCCUCAGGUGGUGCGUUUUUGGCUGCAUAUUUUAUGCGUCAGCAUGUGUGUUUUGUGCAAGUGAUUAUGCAUUAGUUUCAAACACUCAGAGCCAUCACGUCAUUCACAAGGCUAGACGCUGAGACUUGAAACACUCCUUCAUCCAUCAUCAGCAUGUUUUGGAAACACUUUUUUUCUAAUCCGCUCCUGUCAGGCAGACACUGUGUGUGUAUAAGCCAGAGGGUUUUGAAUGAAACAGCAUUUUAAAGCCAGAGGCAUGUAACCAUUUGAGCUUUAUUUAAUAGCACAACCUCAACAGAACAGAGAUUCAGAGUCAUUUGGUAGAUUUAGCUGUUUCUAUAUGAAAGUGAAAGUGAAAGUGAAGUGACAUUCAGCCAAGUAUGGUGACCCAUACUCAGAAUUUGUGCUCUGCAUUUAACCCAUCCGAAAUGCGCACACACACAGAGCAGUGAACACACACACACUGUGAGCACACACCCAGAGCAGUGGACAGCCAUUUAUGCUGCGGCGCCCGGGGAGCAGUUGGAGGUUCGAUGCCUUGCCUAAGUCGAGGUAUUGAAGGUGGAGAGAGAACCGUUCAUGCACUCCCCCCACCCACAAUUCCGUCCGGCCCAAGACUAGAACCCACAACCCUACGAUUGGGAGUCCAACCCUCAUUAGGCCACGACUUCCCCAUAUGAAAGAAACUCCAUCUACAAACAUCUAUACCUGUGGAUGAUUUUUAUUUUUUAGCUUACUAUGCUUCAUGCCAUUCCAAACCUGUAUGACAACACAAAAGAUAUUUUGAAGAUAUUUUUUGCCCAGGUGAAAUUGGACCCUAUUGACCUUCUGUAUGUAAAAAAAAAAAUAAAAAUACUGAUUUAAUUUAUUUUUAUGAAUAGCAUUUUUUUUUUUUUUACGAAGAAAUUAAGUAAUGUAUGAUGGGAAGGACCUGAGGAUGAGCAAAUUAUGAUACAAAUGUUAAUUUUUUUACCAUAAUAAAAGCUCAUUAUUGCACAGCAUUGAGUAACUAGCUUUUUCUUUAAAGCAGCAACAGCUGUAUGAUAAAAGUCCCCAUUGUUUAAUAAAUAAUCAAACGUAUUAAAAAUAUUAAUCACAAAAAUCCCAGUUAUUAUUUGGGAACUGACUAUUUUAAUCACUGAAACAACUCAAUCCCUGUAUAGACAUUUCACUGUGUUGAUUAAACUGUCUGUGUUUAAAGAAUAAAAGUAUGAUAUUCCUUUAUAAAACUUGUAAUUGUUCAUGACUUCAGAGUAUUAAUUUAAUAAGCAACCCAGUAAACCCAUAAGCAGAAUCCUAUCAGUGUCAUUUCAGCCCUGUUUAUAUGGAUUAGAUUGCUUUGGUCUCGGUGUCGCUCUACGGAGUCUUCUCCUCCCUGGUGUGUUUCCAUAUCGGGACAGAGAGCAGAGUGGGACACUCACAAAGCCCCCUCGUCUGAAGUUAAAAGAGCCCUCUUUCUCCUUUUCAGAUGGAAAGAGCAACUCAGUAAGUGGUCCUAAGACCAUUUGAAAUCUUUUCAAAGCUUCUAGUAAGCAUGUCUUUAUUUGCUGGAAAAUUGUAUGAAAUGAGCAAAGCAAUGUGUAAUGCUUGCGAGAGAGAGUUCUGUGAAUCUCAAGAGGUGUUUGGAGAAGCCAUCUUUGGACUGGAUCGCUCAUUUGGAAGCUUGUGGUUUCCAAAGUUGUGUUAAAGAUUUGCUCUGAGGAUUGUGGGUUUAUAUACACGUUUUAGGUGUUUUGCAUGUUUUAAGUCACGUGCAGGAGGCUGUUAAGCACCUUUCCUUGUAGAAUGCAAGAGACUGAGAGUGAUGGUGAGUGAGAGAAACAUGAGUAAUGAAUGCAGUAAGAAAGAUGAGGUUGGAAAAAUGUAAGCUGAGACAUUUUUAGAUAUGUGCAGCACAGUCUGAACCUCAGGCUUAAUUUUAAUAUAUAUGCAAGCAUGCACCCAUCACUGUCUUAUUACACAUCUGCACAGUCUAUAGCAAACUAAUUUCAUUACAAACAAACACUCUGAGCUGUCUGACUUAAUCAGACUCCUCCGUGUCUUACGGAGAUACUUAUGAGUUUAAAGUGUCCAGGGUAAGUGACUGUGGGAUAGAAAGAGAUGAUGUAAACACAAGAUAAAUGGAGAGACCAGGUCAAUACCCAGUGAGCUGCCUCCUUAGACAUAAUUUUAGAACAUAAAAAAAAAAAACACUUUUUUAAAUCUUUUAAGCUGCCCACUUGUACAGCAUGUUUAAAGUUGACAUUUAUGAAUUUAUUUCAAUUUACAGAGAUAUGGUUUCUCAAAAGAAUGUAAGCUGCCUACCAAGCAGUUUCUGGGCAGAUCAAGUACAGUGUCUCAUAACCUAGUGAGCUGCAUUCCGGGUUUAAAAAAAUAUAUUUAUUUAUUUUUCUGGUAAAUAUGUCACACCUGAGUAUAUGGUGAAAAAGAACCUAAAAUAAACAUUUAAAUUUGAAACAAUCUUACAUUUUUAUAGCAUUCAUUAUAAACUGCAUUUAUUAUUAUCAACAAACCUAAACAAAAUUAAAGUGAAGUCAAUAUGUAAAGUCACAUAUCCUACUGAAUUGCCUACUUAAACAGCUAACAAUAUUUAGUAGGCAGCUCACUAGUUUUCGAGACACCACAUUUGUUACUCCCAUAUGAGUGAGAAUGUGACCCUGGACCACAAACCAGUCUUGCGUUGCUGGGCUAUAUU